rnacentral:rRNA from 1 species
UCGAGAGUUUGAUCCUGGCUCAGGAUGAACGCUAGCGGCAGGCUUAACACAUGCAAGUCGAGGGGUAUAGUUCUUCGGAACUAGAGACCGGCGCACGGGUGCGUAACGCGUAUGCAAUCUACCUUUUGCAGAGGGAUAGCCCAGAGAAAUUUGGAUUAAUACCCCAUAGUAUGUAGCGUUGGCAUCAACACUACAUUAAAGUCACAACGGCAAAAGAUGAGCAUGCGUCCCAUUAGCUAGUUGGUAAGGUAACGGCUUACCAAGGCAACGAUGGGUAGGGGUCCUGAGAGGGAGAUCCCCCGACGCUGGUACUGAGACACGGACCAGACUCCGUACGGGAGGCAGCAGUGAGGAAUAUUGGACAAUGGGGCGCAAGCCUGAUCCCAGCCCAUGCCGCGUGCAGGAUGACGGUCCUAUGGAUUGUAAACUGC